rnacentral:misc_RNA from 1 species
UUUCCGUAGGUGAACCUGCGGAAGGAUCAUUAUCGAGUUAGGGUCUCUGGCCCGACCUCCAACCCUGUGUCUACUAUACCAUGUUGCUUUGGCGGGCCCGCGUUCGUCACCGCCGAGGGGUUGACCCCCCUGGGCCAGUGCCCGCCGAUAGCCCCCUCUUAAACUCUUGAUCAACCGUGAAUGUCUGAGUAAAAAAAAAUCAAGCACAAAACUUUCAACAACGGAUCUCUUGGUUCUG